GGAGAGGGGGUGGGGAGCCGAGAGCAGAAGAGAGCACAGAACGGAGAGGAGCCGGUAGCGGAGCACCCGCACCGGCGGCGGCCGGAGAGCGGGGCUCCAAGCUUGAUAUAGAAGACUAUCAUAUGAACCAGAAAGGGUAACUGAAACCAAAGAAAUGACUCCAGUAUCAAGCUAAAGACAUGCCUUAAAGGAUGAGGAGGAGCAGAAAUCUUACCAGCAAGGCAAGAAAGAAGCCGUACGUGAACAGCCUCUGCUUUAGGCCCAGAAGGAAAAGAAGCUUACAGGAGACAAUCAGUCUUACACUCUUCCAUGGUCACAAACAAGAGGUCCCUGGAUCUACAGGUCAUCUUGCCCCUGAAAUGGCCCUGGAAAGCUAUGGCUGAAGAAUGGAGGAAAAGAUGACUUUCUCUGUUUCUUCAGACCAGGCAUCAACUGGGAUGUUGGGAUGUUGAUAAAAGGACAUCUCAUCCUUUGUUUUCUGCCUAUGCUUUCACCAUACCCAUUCCCAUGUCUGGUCAUCACAGCAUCCUUCACAGCCCUUAGCUGAAUCAUGUUGAGUACAGGAUGGUGUGAAUAUCAUGGUUUGAAUGCAACCAUGGUCUGUCAGUGUGGCUUGUUUUUUGCAGCCCACUUAGACUUAAGCCCUCUUAAUUUCAAAAUUACGUUCAUAUGUGCCAAUAAAGUUGUCCCUACAUGAACUGAAAAA
rnacentral:lncRNA from 10 species